UCUCCAUAGGUGAACCUACGGAAGGAUCAUUGUAUAGUUCCUUUUCAAAAAGAUGUGAAGUUGUACCAAUACCCAUUGAUAACUAAACGUUUUUGGUUUCAGCACUUGCGCUGUUUAGAUGGGUUCCCUUUGCUGCCUUCAUCUUUGCUUCAUUUGAAGUGAGAAGUAAAGUAGAAAUAAAAGACUGGCACAGCUCGUGCCAAGGAUAGUUGUUGGAGUACAUUGCCAUCUUUUUGAUGUCUUUGUGUUACUCUACGAGCAUAUAUGUCUGAACAUAUACGUCUGAAUGACUCAUGGCAAUGGAUAUCUUAGCUAUC
rnacentral:misc_RNA from 1 species